CCUACGGGAGACAGCAGUGAGGAAUAUUGGUCAAUGGGCGCGAGCCUGAACCAGCCAAGUCGCGUGAAGGAUGACUGCCCUAUGAGUUGUAAACUUCUUUUGUAAAGGAAUAAAGUGAGGCACGUGUGCCUUUUUGUAUGUACCUUAUGAAUAAGGAUCGGCUAACUCCGUGCCAGCAGCCGCGGUAAUACGGAGGAUCCGAGCGUUAUCCGGAUUUAUUGGGUUUAAAGGGAGCGUAGAUGGGUUGUUAAGUCAGAUGUGAAAGUUUGGGGCUCAACCGUAAAAUUGCCUUUGAUACUGGUAGGCUUGAGAGUAGUUGAGGUAGGCGGAAUGCGUGGUGUAGCGGUGAAAUGCUUAGAUAUCACGAAGAACUCCGAUUGCGAAGGCAGCUUACUAAACUGCCACUGACAUUGAUGCACGAAAGUGUGGGUAUCAAACAGGAUUAGAUACCCGGGUAGUC
rnacentral:rRNA from 1 species